CCCUUAGAUGUUCUGGGCCGCACGCGCGCUACACUGACGAAUGCAACGAGCUUAUAACCUUGGCCGAAAGGUCUGGGUAAUCUCCAAAUUUAGUCGUGAUGGGGAUAGAUUAUUGCAAUUAUUAAUCUUCAACGAGGAAUGCCUAGUAAGCGCAAGUCAUCAGCUUGCGUUGAUUACGUCCCUGCCCUUUGUACACACCGCCCGUCGCUCCUACCGAUUGAAUGGUCCGGUGAAGCGUUCGGACCGUGGCCUUUGGACGGUUCGCCGUCUGUUGGCUGCGGGAAGUUCGUUAAACCUUAUCAUUUAGAGGAAGGAGAAGUCGUAACA
rnacentral:rRNA from 1 species